CUGAUAGGCUGUUUGGAGGCUAUUGGGGUUUUGAUUCAUUUAUUCAUUCUUCUACUUUGGCCUCUGUUUUUCUGGUUGGCUGCUGUUUCCAAAUGGAGAGAAAUGCAAUGAAGUAUAAUACCUUAUCUUGUCUGAAAGGCAUUUGGAGAUGGAAGAUCAGUAACUCAGCAGAGUUUGAGUCAGGAGAGGCUUCUAGAUCUUCAAGGUUCUCCAAGCCAAGCCAAUGAAUAGGAGAAAAGAAUCAUUUCUCUGACUUGGGUUCUCAGUACCCCCUACCUGUCCUUCAG